rnacentral:snRNA from 1 species
AUUGCUUCUCUGCCUUUUGGUUAAGAUCAAGUGUAGUAUCAUUUUUAAAAUUUCAUUUAAUCAAUAAUAUUGGGAGCACAGAGCAAAUGAGUUGACCAAGGUCACAUGACAAGUAUAAAAAAACAGGGGAUCUAACUUGAAACCCUGAACUUCACCUUUU